ACACAUGCAAGUCGAACGGGAAUUACUUUAUUGAAACUUCGGUCGAUUUAAUUUAAUUCUAGUGGCGGACGGGUGAGUAACGCGUGGGUAACCUGCCUUAUACAGGGGGAUAACAGUCAGAAAUGGCUGCUAAUACCGCAUAAGCGCACAGAGCUGCAUGGCUCGGUGUGAAAAACUCCGGUGGUAUAAGAUGGACCCGCGUUGGAUUAGCUUGUUGGUGGGGUAACGGCCCACCAAGGCGACGAUCCAUAGCCGGCCUGAGAGGGUGAACGGCCACAUUGGGACUGAGACACGGCCCAGACUCCUACGGGAGGCAGCAGUGGGGAAUAUUGCACAAUGGGGGAAACCCUGAUGCAGCGACGCCGCGUGAAGGAAGAAGUAUCUCGGUAUGUAAACUUCUAUCAGCAGGGAAGAUAGUGACGGUACCUGACUAAGAAGCCCCGGCUAACUACGUGCCAGCAGCCGCGGUAAUACGUAGGGGGCAAGCGUUAUCCGGAUUUACUGGGUGUAAAGGGAGCGUAGACGGUGUGGCAAGUCUGAUGUGAAAGGCAUGGGCUCAACCUGUGGACUGCAUUGGAAACUGUCAUACUUGAGUGCCGGAGGGGUAAGCGGAAUUCCUAGUGUAGCGGUGAAAUGCGUAGAUAUUAGGAGGACACCAGUGGCGAAGGCGGCUUACUGGACGGUAACUGACGUUGAGGCUC
rnacentral:rRNA from 1 species